CUUCAUGGGUAGAAAGGCACUUAAAAGUAAGAGACAUAUGAGCCAGCAAAAUAGACUGAGCGACGGAGCUACUGUGGAGCUACGUGAAGGAAAGCAGGAGUAAUAUUUUGAGUUCGCGGCUUUGUUGCAUCCUACUUUACAGCAUGGGAGCAAGAAUAAAGUGAGGAAGUGAAAAGGAAAACAAACCUCGGUCUCAGCGUUAUGACCCCAUCCAGCCUGUGAAGUCGCAACAGGGGCAGUCGAGAUGGGUCCAAGCUGUGGCACUUCCUCCUUGAUCAGAUGUGGAAGUCAGUGGACACUGAAUUAUUACCCUCCUGGUUUUCAGCUUGCAAUCAAAGCAGAGUGUUACCGCUGUCAUGACCUGACCUCUCAAUCACUGUCUCAGACUCAAGCUGAGCAUAAAUACAGUUUCUCAAAUCACCCUCUCCAAUAAUGGCAAGAUAGUUGAGGUGUGCUACCCUCAAUGAAUCUGUCUGCUGUUAUAAAACUAUGGCUGAUAGCCUUCCAAUAAUCAAAUUAUGACUGCUAGUCUUCCCUAAUUUUAUUUUUAAUU